UUAAAAUAAAAUAUUUUUAUAAUCCACAACUGCUAUAUUAAAGGAUUAAUUUGCACCUCACCAAAAGUGUGCUCUCCACGACUUGUCACAUCUUGCAGAUCUCAUUUUAUGAUUUCCGUCAAAACAAUUAUUAACAAUAUGUCAUGGUGACAUGUCACCCCUUGCAGACUUAGUACCUUUACAGACUAACAUAUCAUGAUCGUGAAGGUUUGAUUUUUUUUUUUUGGUAUAUUUAUUCUAUUUUUUUUCAACCAGUCUUGCACAACUUUAAUGGUUACAUUUAAACUAUUGGCAAAAUAAUAUAUCUAUUUUUUUUCAAUUAUUUUUUAGUCUUCUAAGGUAUGUAAAACCUUAUAAUGGACUUCCAUAAGGCAAA